GACGAACGCUGGCGGCGUGCUUAACACAUGCCAGUCGAACGGAAAGGCCCCUUUGGGGGUACUCGAGUGGCGAACGGGUGAGUAACACGUGAGUAACCUGCCCUUGACUUCGGGAUAACUUCAGGAAACUGGGGCUAAUACCGGAUAGGAAUCCUUGCUGCAUGGUGGGGGUUGGAAAGCUUCGGCGGUUUUGGAGGGACUCGCGGCUUAUCAGCUUGUUGGUGGGGUAGUGGCUUACCAAGGCUUUGACGGGUAGCCGGCCGGAGAGGGCGAACGGCCACAUUGGGACUGAGAUACGGCCCAGACUCCUACGGGAGGCAGCAGUGGGGAAUAUUGCACAAUGGGCGGGAGCCUGAUGCAGCCACGCCCCGUGCGGGAUGACGGCCUUCGGGUUGUAAACCGCUUUCAGCAGGGGCGAAGCUUGUGGUGACGGUACCUGCAGAAGAAGCACCGGCUAACUACGUG
rnacentral:rRNA from 1 species